rnacentral:lncRNA from 1 species
AUCAUUAGCUUUUCUUGGGAUCUCAAAGGACCCUGUGCAGCAGGCCACUAUUUGAAUGUGUGUUGCUCCUUGUGGCAGGUAUACUGUUCCAAUGCCCUGGGAUCUCUGUAGUGGUCGGUACUGUAUUGAUUAUAAAUGGUGAAGUCCUAGUAUCUUGCUAGAGUGAGCUGGCCAGGAUGGUGGAGCUCUACCACCAUUUCACAGGUUAUAGACAGGGGCCACCAGGUUUCAGGAAAGCAGCAAUGACCCCUCAGUAAUAGUUGGAAAGUGUGAUAUGACACUGAGCUUCACUGUGUUGGUGAAGAAGAGCUGCAGUUUGCCUCCACCUCUGAAGAAGCACAAUACACCUUUCUGGGUUACCAAUGGGAUACUUCCCAACAGCUUUGUCAUCACAUACAAUAUUCUCAAACAAGAUCUUAAUGGCAUCUACUUUCUCCAGGAACACAGCCCCUGACCUGUGUGUGUUUGCGUAGAGAAGGCAUGCUAUGUACCCCCUAGGAUAUCAAGAUUCCUGUAGCAGAUUGAGCUCUGGCAGUUGAUCUCAGUGGCUUGAUAGAGUGUCAUUAUAAAAACGCACCUGGAAGAUUCUGUGGAAAAGACAACCUCAGAAGACCAAGAGGCUGACUUUGCAAGAGAGAGUCCGUUUACCACUUAGAACCGUGAACACCACCCCCGCCCUCAUUUAUCUCCAGACUUGAACUAGUGGUUAAAUCCCAACAUGUCCCAGAGAAGUCAAAAGCAUUGUAAAAUCUGGGAAUCUGCCCACCACUCAAGCCUGGGAAAGCUGGCAGAGGAUGCACGUGUUUUACUCACCUGAGUGUUUACAAUGCUCGUGAGGUGCCUCCCUGAUAGUACAGAGGAAUGAAGAAGGAAUAAACAGACCUUCUGGAUAAUUGCAUCAGCCUUCCCCACUAUUCCAAUGCCAUGCUAACAUUUCAAGUAAUGUCCCUUUUGUCUUGCUGAGAAAAAAUCAUUUCAUGAUUUAUUACACUGGAUUAAAGGCUAUGCACACUCUGGAGUUGGAACAUGACUGAAGGGCAAGCAAGCAUAAAGGAUAUCAGAAACAGUUGAUGUGUUUAAAUUUUUCUGAAUUUCUCAAGUAAACUUUUUAGAAAGUAGUCUGAAGAUAAAAUGGUUAUAUAAGUUACUUAAACUGUAGAUGAUGGCACCUUUAUCCCUAUAUAAUAAAAUUAAGAUUUGUAGGUUAAACCUUGGAUAUUCCCAUCUGAGCAUCUGUACCAAACAGAAAAGACCUGUGUGAGUUCCUGAGAACCAGUGCUCAUUCCAGAAGAGACAGGUUUCUCUCCAGGAAGAAAUGUCUGAAAUUCAGUGAAUUAAAAUCCUCAUUGAGUCUU